UUCUUAAGCGACACCAGUAAUUAAUUUAUUAAUUAAGAAAGCUAUACUCGGAAACUAAGCAAGGUCGGGCCUGGUUAGUACUUGGAUGGGAGACCACCUAGGAAGACCAGGUACUAUAGGUG
ensembl:rRNA 5S_rRNA 5S ribosomal RNA